UGACGUUAGCGGCGGACGGGUGAGUAACACGUAGGUAACCUACCUAUAAGACUGGGAUAACUUCGGGAAACCGGAGCUAAUACCGGAUAAUAUUUCGAACCGCAUGGUUCGAUAGUGAAAGAUGGCUUUGCUAUCACUUAUAGAUGGACCUGCGCCGUAUUAGCUAGUUGGUAAGGUAACGGCUUACCAAGGCAACGAUACGUAGCCGACCUGAGAGGGUGAUCGGCCACACUGGAACUGAGACACGGUCCAGACUCCUACGGGAGGCAGCAGUAGGGAAUCUUCCGCAAUGGGCGAAAGCCUGACGGAGCAACGCCGCGUGAGUGAUGAAGGUCUUCGGAUCGUAAAACUCUGUUAUUAGGGAAGAACAAACGUGUAAGUAACUGUGCACGUCUUGACGGUACCUAAUCAGAAAGCCACGGCUAACUACGUGCCAGCAGCCGCGGUAAUACGUAGGUGGCAAGCGUUAUCCGGAAUUAUUGGGCGUAAAGCGCGCGUAGGCGGUUUUUUAAGUCUGAUGUGAAAGCCCACGGCUCAACCGUGGAGGGUCAUUGGAAACUGGAAAACUUGAGUGCAGAAGAGGAAAGUGGAAUUCCAUGUGUAGCGGUGAAAUGCGCAGAGAUAUGGAGGAACACCAGUGGCGAAGGCGACUUUCUGGUCUGUAACUGACGCUGAUGUGCGAAAGCGUGGGGAUCAAACAGGAUUAGAUACCCUGGUAGUCCACGCCGUAAAACGAUGAGUGCUAAGUGUUAGGGGGUUUCCGCCCCUUAGUGCUGCAGCUAACGCAUUAAGCACUCCGCCUGGG
rnacentral:rRNA from 1 species